rnacentral:rRNA from 1 species
CCCGUUUGGAAUCGGGAAUAUUGCUCAAUGGAGGAAACUCUGACGCAGUGACGCCGCGUAUAGGAUGAAGGUUUUCGGUUUGUAAACUAUUGUCUGCAGGGAAGAAAUUUGACUGUACCUGCAAAGAAAGCUCCGGCUAACUACGUGCCAGCAGCCGCGGUAAUACGUAGGUGGCGAGCGUUAUCCGGAUUUAUUGGGUGUAAAGGGUGCGUAGACGGGAAAUUAAGUUGGUUGUGAAAUCCCUUGGCUUAACUGAGGAACUGCAACCAAAACUGGUUUUCUUGAGUGCAGGAGAGGAAAGCGGAAUUCCUAGUGUAGCGGUGAAAUGCGUAGAUAUUAGGAGGAACACCAGUGGCGAAGGCGGCUUUCUGGACUGUAACUGACGUUGAGGCACGAAAGUGUGGGGAGCAAACAGGAUUAGAUACCCUGGUAGUCCACACCGUAAACGAUGGAUACUAGGUGUAGGAGGUAUUAAUCCUUCUGUGCCGUCGCUAACGCAGUAAGUAUCCCACCUGGGGAGUACGACCGCAAGGUUGAAACUCAAAGGAAUUGACGGGGGCCCGCACAAGCAGUGGAGUAUGUGGUUUAAUUCGAAGCAACGCGAAGAACCUUACCAGGGCUUGACAUAAACAGGAAUAUACUAGAGAUAGUAUAGCUCUUCGGAGUCUGUUUACAGGUGGUGCAUGGUUGUCGUCAGCUCGUGUCGUGAGAUGUUGGGUUAAGUCCCGCAACGAGCGCAACCCCUAUGCCCAGUAGCCAGCACGUAAGGGUGGGCACUUUUGGGGAGACUGCCAGGGAUAACCUGGAGGAAGGUGGGAUGACGUCAAAUCAUCAUGCCCCUUAUGGUCUGGGCGACACACGUGCUACAAUGGCGUAAACAAAGGGAAGCGAGCCCGCGAGGGGGACGAACCCCAAAAACAACGUCCCAGUUCGGACUGCAGUCUGCAACCCGACUGCACGAAGCUGGAAUCGCUAGUAGUCGCGGAUCAGCAUGCCGCGGUGAAUACGUUCCCGGGUCUUGUACACACCGCCCGUCACACCAUGGGAGUCCGUAACGCCCGAAGUCAGUGACCCAGCCGAAAGGAGGGAGCUGCCGAAGGCGGGACGAAUGACUGGGGUGAAGUCGUAACAAGGUAGCCGUAUCGGAAGGUGCGGCUGGAUCACCUCCUU